rnacentral:rRNA from 1 species
GACGAACGCUGGCGGCGUGCUUAACACAUGCAAGUCGAACGGAAAGGCCCGGCUCUUGUGGGGUGCUCGAGUGGCGAACGGGGGAGUAACACGUGAGUAACCUGCCCUUGAAUUUGGGAUAACUUCAGGAAACUGGGGCUAAUACCGGAUAGGAGCUCCUGCUGCAUGGUGGGGGUUGGAAAGUUUCGGCGGUUGGGGAUGGACUGGCGGGUUAUCAGCUUGUUGGUCGGGUAGUGGCUUACCAAGGCUUUGACGGGUAGCCGGCCUGAGAGGGUGACCGGCGACCAUGGGACUGAGAGAGGGACCAGACGCCUACGGUAGGUAGCAGUCGGGAACAUUGCACAAUGGGCGGAAGCCUGAUGUAGCAGCGUCGGGAGCGGGAUGACGGCCUUCGGGGUGUAAACCGAUGUCGACGUUGACGAAGCCUGAGUGACGGUAAUGAGUAAAGAAGCAACGGCUAACUACGUG